ensembl:lncRNA
UUUUAUAUGAUCACUUUUAAGACUAAGUUUGAAAUAUCAUAGUUGUUUUAAUGAAACUAUUCUGAUUUUUAUUCCACUCUUUUGUAAGACUUAGUUGUCAAUUCCAUUUUACAUUUGUAUUCAUUGUACAUCCAAGUUUUUGAUUAAAUACUGAAUUAACAGUUCACAAAGGAUAAUUGGAAGUGCAGAAUGUUAUUCAUGAUUAAUUCAUUUUCCACAUCAAAUGACAGACCUACCAUCAAUGUUGUUCUACAUGAUAACAGACACACAAUAACAUAAAGUGUUUAACUAGGUGGUUUACAAUAUGUGUGAGGAUGGAUGUUUGACAGAGUACGACAUAGCUAAAAAUAUAACGGAAUAUUUGAAAUAAUCGUCAUACAGGCGAUGUAGUCUACAGAUUCAUAAACUGGUAGUUUUCAAUGCAACAAAGCUGCAUGCUGAUCAGAUCUACCAUCUAACACAGACAGAAUGGCAGGUAAAAUGCAGCAAACAUUUAUUCAUUUGUCUUUUCUGCCAAAGGCAACAAUCAAGGUGCUACUUUACAGUUCAUAUUGUACUUGAUUUGGUGAUGGAAGAGGGUCUAGAUCAGUCUGUGCUCUUGUCAACUUCCUACACUAGCCUGAUCCCAGAACAGUUUGUUGAUAAGAGAUCAGAAACAGACUGACACCCAGGAUAACUCUACACUAGCCUGAUCCCAGAACAGUUUGUUGGUAAGAGAUCAGAAACAGACUGCCACCCAGGAUAACUCUACUCUAGCCUGAUCCCAGAACAGUUUGUUGGUAAGAGAUCAGAAACAGACUGACACCCAGGAUAACUCUACACUAGCCUGAUCCCAGAACAGUUUGUUGGUAAGAGAGCAGAAACAGACUGACACCCAGGAUAACUCUACACUAGCCUGAUCCCAGAACAGUUUGUUGGUAAGAGAUCAGAAACAGACUGCCACCCAGGAUAACUCUACUCUAGCCUGAUCCCAGAACAGUUUGUUGGUAAGAGAUCAGAAACAGACUGACACCCAGGAUAACUCUACACUAGCCUGAUCCCAGAACAGUUUGUUGGUAAGAGAGCAGAAACAGACUGACACCCAGGAUAACUCUACACUAGCCUGAUCCCAGAACAGUUUGUUGGUAAGAGAGCAGAAACAGACUGACACCCAGGAUAACUCUAAACACUGUUAGAUGUUUGUUCCAUGUAAGUUUCCACACAACAGUUAUAGCCUGAUUAGCAUUAUUAGGGAAAUGUGCAACUAGUGUGAGAGAAACAGACUUCAGUUAAAAUGGUAAGGAUGGAAAUAGAACUAAAAUAUUGACUUUGCAAGAGGAUUUGACCCUGUAGGGUAAAUCAAUUAACAAAUGGGCCCUUUUCAAAACAAUAAGCAGAAGGAGAAGAAACAAAAUACAAGUAAAUAAUUACGCACAAAAAAAAACUAUAGCAAUAUACAGCUUGUUACUCCACACAACACAGAGAAAUACAUGUUGUGACAUUAGGAAAAAGGUCGAUAAUACAACAGUUUCUUCAUAUAGAGCUGAAUACUGUCAAAAAUUAGACAUGAAAAGUUAUGAAACUGCAUGUAAGAAAUGUACAGUAUCAGUCAAAAGGUUGGACACACCUACUCAUUCCAGGUUUGUUUUAAAUCUACAUUGUAGAAUAAUAGUGAAGACAAACUAUGAAAUAACACAUAUGGAAUCACGUAGUAACCAAAAAAGUGUUAAACAAAUCAAAAUAUUUUAUAUUUGAGAUUCUCCAAGAAGCCACCCUUUGCCUUGACAGCUUUUCUUGAAUAAAAACUCUAGUUUCCAAACUAUUGACUGGUACUGAAUAUGUUCUUUUUUUGAUAGUUAUGUUUUAAAAGCUCAGUAUUCCAGAAAGAAGAUGGUCACGUCACUGGUCGAUAUUUGGUCAAUUUAGUCAUACAAAUUAAUGACACAUGAAAUGAUGUGCAUUCUCAUGCAUAACUGGCCACAGUGAGAAAAUGUUCAUAUAACACACAUACGUCAGACUGCAGAUGCAUCCAUGGCUGAGUCCCCAUUCUCCUCCCUUCUCCCGAAGUGUGCACUUGCACACUUUCUCGUAACGAUUUCACAAAGGUUGAAUCCAGCCAACGCUUACACCACUCCUACGCUUUUAAAUCCAUAAAAAAGGGGAGUGUGCAAGUGCACACUUCUGGACAAGGGUGGAUAACCAGAAUGUAGCCCAAGCCAACUUUCACCCUCUGUCCAUCCACCCUCAGUGUACCAGCUCAAGCUGGCUGGCGGAGAAGGGCAGCACCCCGCUGACGUAGUAAGCGAUGCCCAGAGAGAGCAAGGCGAUGACCACCAGCAGUAGCAGCACCCUCCAGAAGCCCAGGUCCUCAACAAACUCCUGCCAGGUGGUCCUGAAGCUGGACAGGACUCCCUCCCUGUUCUGGAGGUUGGGGUUCAGCAGGGAGUGGCUCUCCAUUGCACUGACAGGAAGAGAAAGAAGUAGCCCAGUGUCAGCUUACAUGCCAUUACUUGAUUUUAAAUAGGAGAGAUAGACAGGAGAGACCAAUAGGAG